rnacentral:snoRNA from 1 species
CCCAGCUGUAGGCAGCUGCCUAGGUUGCCUUGUACCUAGGCAAGUGUUACACUGCUGGGAGAAUAGCAGCCUGUCGCUGGUUGGCAUUCUGGGCCUGGUUCAUAUCAACACUGCUGUGGACUACCAGAAUGCCAGCAUA